rnacentral:misc_RNA from 1 species
AAGUCGUAACAAGGUUUCCGUAGGUGAACCUGCGGAAGGAUCAUUAAUGAAUAACUUGAUGUGGUUGUAGCUGGCUCUUAGGAGCAUGUGCACGCCCGUCAUCUUAUCUUUCCACCUGUGCACACUAUGUAGAUCUGGAUAACUCUCGCUCUUCGGAGCGUAAACAAGGAUUGCUGCGUCGCAAGGCCGGCUCUCUUUGAAUUUCCAGGUCUAUGUUAUUACAAACUCCAAUUGAAUGAUGAAGAAUGUAGUCAAUGGGCUUCGUGCCUAUAAAACACUAUACAACUUUCAGCAACGGAUCUCUUGGCUCUC